UGAUUAGUGCGUUAAAACUAUCUUAAAAACUAGCUAAAAAAAUUACGUAGCAGUGAAGAAAUAAGUUACAGUCAACAUGAAGUUUUGUUUGAGGCUUGCUUUACUUCUUCUUCUCGUCAUUGGAACAUUGACACAAAACUGAUUUGACCUGUCUGACGCCCUUGACGAUCUACCAAUGGAGAAACCAAAAGUCACAGAGAAGCCUAAAACUGAUGGGCGCUUUGGAUUCAAUCAGGGGGAUAUAGAUGGGUGACAAAUGAAAAUCAAAAUCAAUUGAACUCAACUGGAGGAAUGAACUGCAUCUUCUCAGACAUACAGCAUACCCUCAUUUAGUCUUUUAAUAAUCUCCCACUUUGCGUCAUGUUCAUACUCGAACCCUCUUUGGAAACAUCUGCAUUUGUGAUGCAUUUAGGGUUAUCCAUUCAUUUGUCACCUGUUUGUAGCUAUUGAU